AUGCAAGACAGAAAGCAGCGAGUGACUGGACGUGGAAGAGAAGGGUGCGGCAUCUUCUGCUUCACUGGGGCGUCAACUGAUCACACCCAGAAUGCUGUAAUGAAACAAUCAUCCAGGAUUGGACGGGUGGGGAGACAGAGGGAAACAGGGGGUUCAGCGGACCUUCUCACUUUCUGAAGGUUCGACAGCUCAUCCGUCUACACCCCAGUGGGCUGGUGACCGUGAGAUGGAUGGAUGUGUUGAGAGCCCGUGGCUCAGUUCCUUCCUCUCAGUGUUUGAGCUAAUCAAUCAGCGAGUGGAUCAGGCAGGACCAUAUGCACCUUAACACUCAGCUGAUGCCCGCUGCUGACCCUUUCUUACCCUACAGCUGCUCUUGAGAGAGACAACAUGAGACGCCGUUUCAUGCCCAUCUGGGUCUCAUUCUCAGCAGACACAUUUUGGUUUUUGUUAUCCAGCUGAAUGAAUGUUGUACUAUUUUGAAUUUAAACUAUCUACCACGAAGGCUUGAUUUUGCUUAUUCAAGGUUCACAUUGUGCAGAUACAAUGAUGUUUUGGCAGAUACUUUUAUUCCAAGCACCCUUGGGGUUUGAACCUGUGACUUUAGUGUUGCUAACACAUGCUAUACUGUUUACUGAACAUUUGGAUGUUUAUGCAUGUGGUGGAUUGUGAGUUUUUACUUUGUAAUUGGUCCAUUCAUUUGCUCCAGUUUUUUAAGGGUGGACUUAGGGACAGGUAGCAAACAACUAGUAACUACCCAGAACUCAUUAUUUUAAUGACUUGAUAGGCAUUAAAAAUGUAUGUAAUGGCUUUUUUGUAAACCUUGAAUGUUUCUUAAUGAAUCUUUUGAAUAUACUGCAUGUAUAGCGUGAAAUUGAAGAACACACGUGUGACACCAUUUCGAACAACAUUUGUACAAAGCAAAGUUCAUAUGGAGUUUGUUUAGGUGCUUUUCGUGUUAAAGUGCCCCUAUUAUGAAUUUUUUAAAAUUACCUUUUAAUGCAGUGUGUAACACAGCUCUAAGUGAAUGAAAACAUCCUGCAAAGUUUUAGAUCAUUUAUAAAGCUAUUGUCUCUCAAAAAAAAAGAGUUGACUGAAUCAUUGAAAUGAGUCAUUUUUAAAAUGAAUCCCAAGCCGUUUCAUGUUGACAUCAACAUGAAACAUUAGCAUAUUGCCCACC
ensembl:lncRNA